rnacentral:rRNA from 1 species
ACGAACGCUGGCGGCGUGCUUAACACAUGCAAGUCGAGUGCGCAGCUUUCUGUAGCAAUACAGGAAGCCGGCGCACGGCGCACGGGUGCGUAACACGUGGGCAAUCUGCCCUCGGAUGGGGGAUAACCCCGCGAAAGCGGGGCUAAUACCGCAUGACAUUCCGGAGACCUCGGUCUUUGGAUUCAAAGGUCGCAAGAUCGUCUGAGGAGGAGCCCGCGCCCGAUUAGCUAGUUGGUGAGGUAACGGCUCACCAAGGCUUUGAUCGGUAGCCGGUCUGAGAGGAUGGCCGGCCAAACUGGAACUGAGACAAGGUCCAGACUCCUACGGGAGGCAGC